CUCUGGAUUUUAAUGCAGUUUUGCUAUUAAGGAGAUUGCUUUUGAAGGAAGAAAUGCACGCCUGAGAACAAUGGAGGCAUUUUCGAUCAUACUUUCAGCUACACAGUUUAUCUACAUCCUUGCCAUCCAUGGAGGGAAUAGGAGAAUUUGAAGACUUUCUCUUUGGCAAGUGAAUGUUACUGCUGAUUUGAUUCAUUGCAUUUAAUUUUAAUUGUGCCUCAAUAUGAACUUAGGGUGAAAGCAAAAAAAAAAAAAAUUGAGAAAAUAAAUUUUAUAUGGUUUGGACGAAUCAAGAGUUGGAGUGAUAUGUGCACAGGUUGUGUUGAUCGCAUUUUGCUUUAACUCGUCUGCGAGGUGUAAAAAUAAUAAAAAUUCAACCACGUUAUUUCUAUUUUAUUCUUUAUUUUUUUGUAAAA